GACGAACGCUGGCGGCGUGCCUAAUACAUGCAAGUAGAACGCUGAAGAGAGGAGCUUGCUCUUCUUGGAUGAGUUGCGAACGGGUGAGUAACGCGUAGGUAACCUGCCUUGUAGCGGGGGAUAACUAUUGGAAACGAUAGCUAAUACCGCAUAACAAUGGAUGACACAUGUCAUUUAUUUGAAAGGGGCAAUUGCUCCACUACAAGAUGGACCUGCGUUGUAUUAGCUAGUAGGUGAGGUAAUGGCUCACCUAGGCGACGAUACAUAGCCGACCUGAGAGGGUGAUCGGCCACACUGGGACUGAGACACGGCCCAGACUCCUACGGGAGGCAGCAGUAGGGAAUCUUCGGCAAUAGGGGCAACCCUGACCGAGCAACGCCGCGUGAGUGAAGAAGGUUUUCGGAUCGUAAAGCUCCGUUGUAAGUCAAGAACGGGUGUGAGAGUGGAAAGUUCACACUGUGACGGUAGCUUACCAGAAAGGGACGGCUAACUACGUG
rnacentral:rRNA from 1 species